rnacentral:rRNA from 1 species
CCGGUUGAUCCCGCCGGACCUGACUGCUAUCGGAUUGAUACUAAGCCAUGCGAGUCAUUGUAGUAAUACAAGGCAGACGGCUCAGUAACGCGUAGUCAACCUACCCUAUGGACGGGGAUAACCUCGGGAAACUGAGAAUAAUACCCGAUAGAACAUUAUGCCUGGAACGGUUUAUGUUUCAAAUAAUUUAUUGCCGUAGGAUGGGACUGCGGCCUAUCAGUUUGUUGGUGAGGUAAUGGCCCACCAAGACUAUUACAGGUACGGGCUCUGAGAGGAGUAGCCCGGAGAUGGGUACUGAGACACGGACCCAGGCCCUAUGGGGCGCAGCAGGCGAGAAAACUUUGCAAUGUGCGAAAGCACGACAAGGUUAAUCCGAGUGGUUUCUGCUAAAGGAACCUUUUGUCAGUCCUAGAAACACUGAUGAAUAAGGGGUGGGCAAGUUCUGGUGUCAGCCGCCGCGGUAAAACCAGCACCUCAAGUGGUCAGGAUGAUUAUUGGGCCUAAAGCAUCCGUAGCCUGCUUUGUAAGUUUUCGGUUAAAUCCAUACGCUCAACGUAUGGGCUGCCGGGAAUACUGCAAAGCUAGGGAGUGGGAGAGGUAGACGGUACUCGGUAGGAAGGGGUAAAAUCCUUUGAUCUAUUGAUGACCACCUGUGGCGAAGGCGGUCUACCAGAACACGUCCGACGGUGAGGGAUGAAAGCUGGGGGAGCAAACCGGAUUAGAUACCCGGGUAGUCCCAGCUGUAAACUAUGCAAACUCAGUGAUGCAUUGGCUUGAUGCCAAUGCAGUGCUGCAUGGAAGCCGUUAAGUUUGCCGCCUGGGAAGUACGUACGCAAGUAUGAAACUUAAAGGAAUUGGCGGGGGGAGCAUUACGAGGGUGAAGCCUGCGCUCAUUGGAUUCACGCCGGAA